AGCAGCCGCGGUAAUUCCAGCUCCAAUAGCGUAUAUUAAAGUUGUUGCAGUUAAAAAGCUCGUAGUUGAAUUUCGGGAUCAAUAUGUUGGUCGUGCCUUGGUACGUACUGGCAUUAUCGAUUCCUACCUUCUGAAGAACCUCGAUGUCAUUAAUUUGGUGUCUUGGGGAAUCAGGACUGUUACUUUGAAAAAAUUAGAGUGUUUAAAGCAGGCUCGCGCUUGAAUACAUUAGCAUGGAAUAAUGAAAUAGGACGUUUGAUUCUAUUUUGUUGGUUUCUAGGAUCGACGUAAUGAUUAAUAGGGAUAGUUGGGGGCAUUAGUAUUCAAUUGUCAGAGGUGAAAUUCUUGGAUUUAUUGAAGACUAACUACUGCGAAAGCAUUUGCCAAGGAUGUUUUCAUUAAUCAAGAACGAAAGUUAGGGGAUCGAAGACGAUCAGAUACCGUCGUAGUCUUAACCAUAAACUAU
rnacentral:rRNA from 1 species